AACGAACGCUGGCGGCAGGCUUAACACAUGCAAGUCGAGCGCCCCGCAAGGGGAGCGGCAGACGGGUGAGUAACGCGUGGGAACGUACCUUUUGGUUCGAAACAACCCCGGGAAACUGAAGCUAAUACCGGAUAAGCCCUAACGGGGAAAGAUUUAUCGCCGAAAGAUCGGCCCGCGUCUGAUUAGCUAGUUGGUGAGGUAACGGCUCACCAAGGCGACGAUCAGUAGCUGGUCUGAGAGGAUGAUCAGCCACACUGGGACUGAGACACGGCCCAGACUCCUACGGGAGGCAGCAGUGGGGAAUAUUGGACAAUGGGCGCAAGCCUGAUCCAGCCAUGCCGCGUGAGUGAUGAAGGCCUUAGGGUUGUAAAGCUCUUUUGUCCGGGAAGAUAAUGACUGUACCGGAAGAAUAAGCCCCGGCUAACUUCGUG
rnacentral:rRNA from 1 species